rnacentral:rRNA from 1 species
UGCAGUCGAGCGGAUGAAGGGAGCUUGCUCCUGGAUUCAGCGGCGGACGGGUGAGUAAUGCCUAGGAAUCUGCCUGGUAGUGGGGGAUAACGUCCGGAAACGGGCGCUAAUACCGCAUACGUCCUGAGGGAGAAAGUGGGGGAUCUUCGGACCUCACGCUAUCAGAUGAGCCUAGGUCGGAUUAGCUAGUUGGUGGGGUAAAGGCCUACCAAGGCGACGAUCCGUAACUGGUCUGAGAGGAUGAUCAGUCACACUGGAACUGAGACACGGUCCAGACUCCUACGGGAGGCAGCAGUGGGGAAUAUUGGACAAUGGGCGAAAGCCUGAUCCAGCCAUGCCGCGUGUGUGAAGAAGGUCUUCGGAUUGUAAAGCACUUUAAGUUGGGAGGAAGGGCAGUAAGUUAAUACCUUGCUGUUUUGACGUUACCAACAGAAUAAGCACCGGCUAACUUCGUGCCAGCAGCCGCGGUAAUACGAAGGGUGCAAGCGUUAAUCGGAAUUACUGGGCGUAAAGCGCGCGUAGGUGGUUCAGCAAGUUGGAUGUGAAAUCCCCGGGCUCAACCUGGGAACUGCAUCCAAAACUACUGAGCUAGAGUACGGUAGAGGGUGGUGGAAAUUUCCCUGUG